AGAGAGUUUGCUUAAUUGGUUAAAGCACCAGUCUUGAAAACUGGAGUCGUAACAGACAUUAGGGUUCGAGUCCCUAACUCUCUG
rnacentral:tRNA from 2 species